UAAGGCCUCCUGCACCCUGCCGGCGUGGCGUUUCUGUGUCUUUGCACACCAGAAACAUGUCUGACGCUGCGCUGCUGUUGCUGACCUUGUCUGUACACAUGUAUGUUUCCCAUUGAUAAAUUAGUAUACUUCAUGUUAUACAUAAAUCUAUCCUGAUUUGAUAACAGCAAAGACAACGUCGGCAGUGUUGGCGGCAAAAUAGGCUACAGAAUAUGUCCUUCUGUAUGACAAGUCUAAUAUU